rnacentral:rRNA from 1 species
GGGUAGAGUUCUUCGGGACUUGAGACCGGCGCACGGGUGCGUAACGCGUAUGCAAUCUACCUUAUACAGGGGAAUAGCCCAGAGAAAUUUGGAUUAAUGCCCCAUAGUGUUAUAGAAUCGCAUGGUUUUAUAACUAAAGUUCCAACGGUAUAAGAUGAGCAUGCGUCCCAUUAGUUAGUUGGUAAGGUAACGGCUUACCAAGACAAUGAUGGGUAGGGGUCCUGAGAGGGAGAUCCCCCACACUGGUACUGAGACACGGACCAGACUCCUACGGGAGGCAGCAGUGAGGAAUAUUGGUCAAUGGGCGCAAGCCUGAACCAGCCAUGCCGCGUGCAGGAAGACGGUCCUAUGGAUUGUAAACUGCUUUUAUACAGGAAGAAACCUCCCUACGUGUAGGGACUUGACGGUACUGUAGGAAUAAGGAUCGGCUAACUCCGUGCCAGCAGCCGCGGUAAUACGGAGGAUCCAAGCGUUAUCCGGAAUCAUUGGGUUUAAAGGGUCCGUAGGCGGCCUUAUAAGUCAGUGGUGAAAUCUCCUAGCUCAACUAGGAAACUGCCAUUGAUACUGUAGGGCUUGAAUUUCUGUGAAGUAACUAGAAUAUGUAGUGUAGCGGUGAAAUGCUUAGAUAUUACAUGGAAUACCAAUUGCGAAGGCAGGUUACUAACAAACGAUUGACGCUGAUGGACGAAAGCGUGGGGAGCGAACAGGAUUAGAUACCCUGGUAGUCCACGCCGUAAACGAUGGAUACUAGCUGUUCGGAGCAAUCUGAGUGGCUAAGCGAAAGUGAUAAGUAUCCCACCUGG